rnacentral:rRNA from 1 species
ACGUUAGCGGCGGACGGGUGAGUAACACGUGGGUAACCUACCUAUAAGACUGGGAUAACUUCGGGAAACCGGAGCUAAUACCGGAUAAUAUUUCGAACCGCAUGGUUCGAUAGUGAAAGAUGGUUUUGCUAUCACUUAUAGAUGGACCUGCGCCGUAUUAGCUAGUUGGUAAGGUAACGGCUUACCAAGGCGACGAUACGUAGCCGACCUGAGAGGGUGAUCGGCCACACUGGAACUGAGGCACGGUCCAGACUCCUACGGGAGGCAGCAGGC